AAGACUAUACUUCUAGGGAUCAUUUCUAUAGUGUUUAACUAGAGGAAUGUGUUUCGUGAAAGUUUGGUCUCGCUAGUCACGAUGAUGAGCGGUGGUGUUCCCUUCCGAACGAGAGCCGUGUAAAAGAAUGUGUUCUAUCAUGUUCUUUUGUAUCGAUGAUCGUUUUGUUUCACAUUAGUGAAACAAGAGGAAGGGAGCACGGUCUGAGUGAU